rnacentral:misc_RNA from 1 species
GAAAUGCGAUACGUAGUGUGAAUUGCAGAAAACCGUGAACCAUCGAAUCUUUGAACGCAUAUUGCGCCCGCGGCUUCGGCCAAGGGCAUGUCUGCCUCAGCGUCGGGUUAAUACUCGCCCCACAUUCCCCUUGUGAGAAUGGUCGGGAGUGGAUCUGGCCGUCUCAGCUCUUUUUAAUCAAAGGGCUGGGUCGGCUGAAGUGCAGAGGUUUGUUCAAGGACCCGUCAAGGGCCGUAGCUGGUUAGGCAGUGAUGCUGAUACGAUUAGCUGUUGGCCUGGGUCCUGGGCGAGCCCUCAACAAGGAAACUCAUAACUUAUUUCCUCGACCUGAGCUCAGGCAAGAUUACCCGCUGAACUUAA